GGGGGCGGGGCCAAGCCAGCAAGCUGAGAGGAUGCAUGAAAGCUGGGCUCCUGCUCUACUUGCUGAUAUUUUACAAAUAAUCGCCAAACUCGAGAAAUCAAACAAGCCGGGGUGCACUGCCUAAGUCAGGGGUGACCUGGUGAUCAGUCCGAUAUCUGAGUUGAGCACGUUGGUGAACGAGAGCCGAAGUUGGAAAGCUGCGGCCUACUGAUGGCGGAACCGGGGAGAGACGGCCGCUCUCCUCGCCGAAACAUUGG